GUGAUCGACUAAUCGUGGUCGUUGAAAUAUUUUUAAAUUCAUUUAAAAGUGUUUUUGGGAUGGUAUUUUUCAAUACUAAUUUAUCAAAAGAUUACGUGAAUUUGUAGAGCCAUGUUUACUCUCCAUCUUUUCCGGAGAAUUAGGCCAGACGUAUUAAGGCCAAUUGGUUGGGUCUGCAGACCUUGCUUAUCAGCAUUUUCAUCUGACUCUACAAAGGAAAAUGUUGACCAGAUUCGCAAUAUUGGAAUUUCUGCUCACAUUGACUCUGGGAAAACAACAUUGACUGAAAGAGUGUUGUUUUAUAC